UGGGGAAUAUUGCGCAAUGGGCGAAGGCCUGACGCAGCGACGCCGCGUGAGGGAUGAGGGUUUUCGGAUCGUAAACCUCUGUCAGAAGGGAAGAAACUACAUUGUGCUAAUCAGCAGUGUACUGACGGUACCUUCAAAGGAAGCACCGGCUAACUCCGUGCCAGCAGCCGCGGUAAUACGGAGGGUGCAAGCGUUAAUCGGAAUUACUGGGCGUAAAGCGCACGUAGGCUGUAGUGUAAGUCAGGGGUGAAAUCCCACGGCUCAACCGUGGAACUGCCUUUGAUACUGCACAACUUGAAUCCGGGAGAGGGUGGCGGAAUUCCAGGUGUAGGAGUGAAAUCCGUAGAUAUCUGGAGGAACAUCAGUGGCGAAGGCGGCCACCUGGACCGGUAUUGACGCUGAGGUGCGAAAGCGUGGGGAGCAAACAG
rnacentral:rRNA from 1 species